rnacentral:rRNA from 1 species
GACGAACGCUGGCGGCGUGCUUAACACAUGCAAGUCGAACGGAAAGGCCCUGCUUUUGUGGGGUGCUCGAGUGGCGAACGGGUGAGUAACACGUGAGUAACCUGCCCUUGACUUUGGGAUAACUUCAGGAAACUGGGGCUAAUACCGGAUAGGAGCUCCUGCUGCAUGGUGGGGGUUGGAAAGUUUCGGCGGUUGGGGAUGGACUCGCGGCUUAUCAGCUUGUUGGUGGGGUAGUGGCUUACCAAGGCUUUGACGGGUAGCCGGCCUGAGAGGGUGACCGGCCACAUUGGGACUGAGAUACGGCCCAGACGCCUACGGGAGGCAGCAGUGGGGAAUAUUGCACAAUGGGCGGAAGCCUGAUGCAGCAACGCCGCGUGCGGGAUGACGGGCUUCGGGUUGUAAACCGCUUUCGCAGGUGACGAAGCGUGAGUGACGGUAAUGGGUAAGGAAGCACCGGCUAACUACGUG